AUUGAACGCUGGCGGCAGGCCUAACACAUGCAAGUCGAGCGGAUGAAGGGAGCUUGCUCCUGGAUUCAGCGGCGGACGGGUGAGUAAUGCCUAGGAAUCUGCCUGGUAGUGGGGGAUAACGUCCGGAAACGGGCGCUAAUACCGCAUACGUCCUGAGGGAGGAAGUGGGGGAUCUUCGGACCUCACGCUCUCAGAUGAGCCUAGGUCGGAUUAGCUAGUUGGUGGGGUAAAGGCCUACCAAGGCGACGAUCCGUAACUGGUCUGAGAGGAUGAUCAGUCACACUGGAACUGAGACACGGUCCAGACUCCUACGGGAGGCAGCAGUGGGGAAUAUUGGACAAUGGGCGAAAGCCUGAUCCAGCCAUGCCGCGUGUGUGAAGAAGGUCUUCGGAUUGUAAAGCACUUUAAGUUGGGAGGAAGGGCAGUAAGUUAAUACCUUGCUGUUUUGACGUUACCAACAGAAUAAGCACCGGCUAACUUCGUG
rnacentral:rRNA from 1 species